rnacentral:lncRNA from 1 species
AAUAGCUCGGCCUGUGUGCGUGUCCAGCCUGGCUGGCAGCCAGUUCGAUGCCCAGGACCUCAAAUCUCCUGGUCACCCAGGGAUGCUCCCGGUGACUGGGACCAGGGCGCUUGGCAUCCUGGACAGGUCUGAGUGAGGGCAGGCAGGAGAGCUGAGGCUGACCUCCUUCCUCGGCUGUCCUGGUGGGUCUUGGGUGGACACGUGGAGCCCAGGACAGCAUAUUCUCAAGGGUGUUGUUCUGCAGAACGCCAGUACUACAAACGCUCUGCAGGAGGCCAGGGUCAACAAAAUUGGGGAGAUUCUGCAGCUCUGUUCUCUUUGGCAUGAUCCACCACGCACAUGGGUUCUUCUUCCAGGUUAUCCUGAGCCCAGCUCAAGCCCAUCUGUCUCUAGGUCUCAAAUGUACUCUAUCUAUCUAUCUAUCCAUCUAUCUAUCUAUCUAUCUAUCUACCUACCUACCUACCUAUCAGUGCCAGGGAUUGAAUUCAGGGGCACUCGACCACUGAGCCACAUCCUCAUUCCUAUUUUGUAUUUUAUUUAGAGACAGGGUCUCACUGAGUUGCUUAGUGCCUCACUUUUGCUGAGGCUGGCUUUGAACUCACCAUCCUCCUGCCUCAGCCUCCUGAUUCUCUGGGAUUAUGGCUAUGUGACACUGUGCCCGGCUCAGAGGUACUUUAUAGUAUGAGUCACAAGUGCAGUGGAUGAGCCAGUUACUUGUGAAGGAGUUUCAUGAUCUCAGCGUCCACUCAAGACUAAGUCCAGAUGGUGGAUCCUGUCUUCUGAUGAAUCCCUGCUGCUUAGUCCAAUACCUGGCACAUAAUAGAUGCUUAAUAAAGAUUUGAAAACUUGAAGAAUUGAAAAAGUAUUCAUGA